AAGGGCGAGACGAUGGCUUCCUGCCUGACUCACUGGCUCUUUACAGGCAGCCGCUGGCUUCUCAGGCCGCUUCCCCUCCAGUAAAAAGGGGCAAGAAGCUCACGAGUACUUGGUAGGGAGCCCGGGAGACCUUUGAUGGCAGGCUCUAAAGCAAGGCCCGCUUCACAAGAGGGCAAUUACGCUUUAGGCUAAUUGGUGCAGAGACGCUGUAAAAGCAUCUUUUUGGAACACAAACAAAAUAGCACGAGGGUGUUGGUGUUUGGCAGCAACGCUACAACGCUUAGAGACACAGGGGAAGCCCACGUGAAGUCUGGAGAUGGGCCAGCCCUCCGCACCAGUCCCGGGCCAGUGUCAUCUUAAAGGCAUUGUGUGGCCUCUGACACCAUGACUGCUGGAGGAUUAUUUUCAGGAGUCCACGGGGCCAACAAACAUGUUACUCACUCAAGAUGUGCGUCACCGCCCCCCCCACUCCUACCAAAUGGAAGAACUACUUGAUGACCAUGAGCAAACAGCUCCAGGCCUCCUGGAGCCUAAGGACUGAUAAGGUUAACCCCUGUGACACCACCCUGCUGCCUCACCAUCAGCCAAUCAGAGAAUUGUGCGCAAGCUGAUCACGUACCCUGGCACCCCCACCCACCUGGCCUUUAAAAAUGCUUUGCCGAAGCUCUAUUUACAAUAGCCCGGAGAUGGAAACAACCUAAGUGCCCAUCAUCGGAUGAAUGGAUAAAGAAGAUGUGGCACAUAUAUACAAUGGAAUAUUACUCAGCCAUAAAAAGAAACGAAAUUGAGCUAUUUGUA